CUGAAAUCAGGUAGGGCUACCC
rnacentral:rRNA from 1 species